CCUACGGGUGGCAGCAGUGGGGAAUAUUGCACAAUGGAGGAAACCCUGAUGCAGCGACGCCGCGUGAGUGAAGAAGUAUCUCGGUACGUAAAGCUCUAUCAGCAGGGAAGAAAAUGACGGUACCUGACUAAGAAGCACCGGCUAACUACGUGCCAGCAGCCGCGGUAAUACGUAGGGGGCCAGCGUUAUCCGGAUUUACUGGGUGUAAAGGGAGCGUAGACGGCAUCACGAGUCUGGAGUGAAAUCCCGGGGCUUAACCCCGGAACUGCUUUGGAAACUGUGCGGCUGGAGUGCAGGAGGGGUAGGCGGAAUUUCUAGUGUAGCGGUGAAAUGCGUAGAGAUUAGGAGGAACACCGGUGGCGAAGGCGGCUUACUGGACUGUAACUGACGUUGAGGCUCGAAAGCGUGGGGAGCAAACAGGAUUAGAUACCCGGGUAGUC
rnacentral:rRNA from 1 species